GGUUGGCGAGUCUGGAUGAGAGGACGGCGGCGGAGUCACUGUGGACGUUGUUCGCUCAGCAGGUUAGAGUGUGGGACUCAAAGGUUUUUGUCCCCUCUCCCGUUGUGUCUUUUCCUGUGUGAACUCUGCCGCUCUCAACAGCAGCACUGGCUAUGAGCUAGCUCCUGCUAGCUCCUGCUAGCUCUAACGAAGCAUCUCUCAACUGCUACAAGGUCCAACUUGACACACAACUUGAAUCCAACCAGACUGAACACUGACUCCAGGGACAGACGAGCCUGAAGGACACAGCUGUGAUGACC